CUAGCGCAUUAAGUUCCCCGCCUGGGGAGUACGGCCGCAAGGCUAAAACUCAAAGGAAUUGACGGGGACCCGCACAAGCGGCGGAGCAUGCGGAUUAAUUCGAUGCAACGCGAAGAACCUUACCUGGGUUUGACAUACACCGGAAGCCUCUAGAGAUAGAGGUCUCUUUGAUACUGGUGUACAGGUGGUGCAUGGCUGUCGUCAGCUCGUGUCGUGAGAUGUUGGGUUAAGUCCCGCAACGAGCGCAACCCUCGUUCCAUGUUGCCAGCACGUAAUGGUGGGGACUCAUGGGAGACUGCCGGGGUCAACUCGGAGGAAGGUGGGGAUGACGUCAAGUCAUCAUGCCCCUUAUGUCCAGGGCUUCACGCAUGCUACAAUGGCCGGUACAAAGGGCUGCGAUCCCGUGAGGGGGAGCGAAUCCCAAAAAGCCGGUCUCAGUUCGGAUUGGGGUCUGCAACUCGACCCCAUGAAGUCGGAGUCGCUAGUAAUCGCAGAUCAGCAACGCUGCGGUGAUACGUUCCCGGGCUUUGUACACACCGCCCGUNCAGGGGGAUUCGCGCCGCUAAU
rnacentral:rRNA from 1 species